UACGUAGGGGGCGAGCGUUGUCCGGAUUUAUUGGGCGUAAAGAGCGUGUAGGCGGCCAGGUAGGUCUGCUGUGAAAACUCGAGGCUCAACCUCGAGACGUCGGCGGAAACCAUCUGGCUAGAGUCCGGAAGAGGAGAGUGGAAUUCCUGGUGUAGCGGUGAAAUGCGCAGAUAUCAGGAAGAACACCCGUGGCUAAGGCGGCUCUCUAGUACGUGACUGACGCUGAGACGCGAAAGCGUGGGGAGCGAACAGG
rnacentral:rRNA from 1 species